rnacentral:rRNA from 1 species
UACGUAGGUGGCAAGCGUUGUCCGGAAUUACUGGGUGUAAAGGGAGCGCAGGCGGGGAGACAAGUCAGCUGUGAAAUGCAUAGGCUUAACCUAUGAAUUGCAGUUGAAACUGUUUUUCUUGAGUGGAGUAGAGGUAGACGGAAUUCCGAGUGUAGCGGUGAAAUGCGUAGAUAUUCGGAGGAACACCAGUGGCGAAGGCGGUCUACUGGGCUCUAACUAACGCUGAGGCUCGAAAGUGUGGGGAGCAAACAGGAUUAGAUACCCUGGUA